rnacentral:rRNA from 1 species
UAGUCCACGCCGUAAACGAUGAAUGCUAGUCGUCAGGGGGCAUGCCCUUUGGUGACGCAGCUAACGCAUUAAGCAUUCCGCCUGGGGAGUACGAUCGCAAGAUUAGAACUCAAAGGAAUUGACGGGGGCCCGCACAAGCAGUGGAGCAUGUGGUUUAAUUCGAAGCAACGCGCAGAACCUUACCACCACUUGACAUCACCAUCGCGAUUUCCGGAGACGGAUUUCUUCAGUUCGGCUGGAUGGAUGACAGGUGCUGCAUGGCUGUCGUCAGCUCGUGUCGUGAGAUGUUGGGUUAAGUCCCGCAACGAGCGCAACCCUCGCCUUUAGUUGCCAGCAGUUCGGCUGGGCACUCUAGAGGAACCGCCGGUGAUAAGCCGGAGGAAGGUGGGGAUGACGUCAAGUCCUCAUGGCCCUUACGUGGUGGGCUACACACGUGCUACAAUGGCGAUGACAGUAGGUUACUAACCGAAAAUCGUCUCAGUUCGGAUUGGGUCGU